AUGUCAGAUUUCCAUCGUCAGUAUUACACCCAAGUUAAGUGGAAAAGAUGCUCACCCUUCAUGAAUAUUGAAACAAUUAGCAGCGAUGAUGUGCUACCCAUCCAGUUCAAUCUGUUCAUGCCACACCAAGAUCCCAAACUCUCGAAAAAUGAAUUAAGUAGAGUCCUUACGCUCCGCCGCGACGAGUUGCCAUCGAUGCUUUGUAAUUGUGUUGGUGCCACUGGUGGUUUGAAGAGAACAGGCUACCGUGUUAAACACUUGUUUAAAGCAUCUAUGUCUUGUCAAGCCUAUUCACAGAUGAAGAAGUACCUUUCAGGGUGUAGGAAGCUUAAAUUUGCCCAGAACAUGAUCAUGAAGGUUCUUGAAAGCCUUGUGCCUCUUCCACAAGAGAAGCAUCGAGACACUGUUGCCAAAAUAUUCACUGUGCUUGCUACUAUAGCUGAAGACGCUUUUCUUAUCCAAGUGAACAUAUAUGUCGUGAAUCGUAAUCCUAACCCUAAUCCUGCAAGCAUGUCAGCCAUGGUGAACGAGUUGGAGAAAGUGAGACUUAAUAGAUCAUGUGGUAUUUGCAUGGAGGAAUUUGACAAAGGUGUUAUGGCUAUUCGUUUGCCCUGCUUUCACAUUUUUCAUGGAAAUUGCAUUUUCCGGUGGCUGCAGAAGGAUCACAAGUGUCCUUUGUGCCGACAUCCAAUGCCUCACGAUGAUGCAGAUCAUGCCGACGACACUUCUUCUUCGGUGACCAAAUACCAGUAUUCUUAUUAUACUCGAAUUGAAUCAAAAAUAUGCACACCGGCACCAUCAUCCACGCUUGAGAUCCAAUUCAAUUUCUACAAGUCAAACCAAUCUGGUUCAUUGCUGAAGAAUGGUGAAGUUCUACGCCACAAAACUGAGCCUGAUGCUGAACAAAUCCACCUCAAAACUGAGCCACGAUUACUUACAAUUCCUAGUCAUUGCGAGCUGCAACCAACUAUGAUCACCCAAGUUCUUAGAAGCCUGGAUGUUCCGCAAAAUGAGCAGCCACCCAUUGUUGCCAAAAUAUUUGAGACAGUUGCUGCUGAUGGUAAUUGUGCUUUUAUUAAUGCGGACAUCUACCAUGAGGCAUUGAAAUUGUUCGAUCGUUGGGCCUUUUCUCGAAAGCUUUUCAGGAUUAGACGUAUUGGAAUUGAUCUUCCCAUUACAGACGAACAUGAUGCUAGGAUUGCGAGGGAAUUAGACGAGGAAUCAUUUAGCAAGCCUAGGCCUAAGCCUGCUACUAAAUCAGCCAUUGAGGGGUUGGAGAGAGUGAGAGUUGACGCGUCCUGUGUUGAGGCAGCAGAGAGUAGUAGUGGAUGCUGCAGCACCAAGUCUUCUUCAACUGUUUCGCUUCGGCCUCCAAAGCAGCUUUUGAUUGACUUGCCUUGCGAAGCUGGAGAGUUCCCGGUGCUGCUCCUCCUCCAUGGUUUUCUUCUCUCCAACUCUUUCUACUCUCAGCUUAUCCAACACAUCGCCUCUCAUGGCUUCAUCAUCAUUGCCCCUCAGUUGUAUACAAUAGCUGGAUCAGAUACAAGUGAUGAGAUCAAGUCCACAGCUGCAAUAACAAACUGGUUAUCAGAAGGACUUCAAUCCUUGCUUCCACCCCAUGUUCAUGCAAAUCUAAACAAGCUAGCACUCGCUGGGCACAACCGAGGAGGCAAAGUUUCUUUUGCACUAGCAUUAGGGAAAGAAGGCAUCACUACUAGCUUGAAAUUUUCAGCCUUAAUAGGGCAUAGACCCAGUUGAUGGAAUGGACAAGGGAAAACAGACCCCUCCACCAGUCUAACCUAUGCCCCUCAUUCUUUCGAUCUCGACUACAUGACAGUAAUGGUGAUUGGUACUGGUUUGGGUGAAGUGAAGAGAAACACUCUAUUCCCUGCUUGUGCUCUAAAGGGUGUUAACCAUGAGGACUUCUUCCAUGAAUGCCGAAAACCGGCCUGUUACUUUGUGGCCAAGGACUAUUGGCAUGUUGAUAUGCUUGAUGAUGAGACAGAGGGGGUUAGGGGGAAGGCUACAUAUUGUUUGUGCUAAAAUGGCAAGUCUAGGGAACCCAUGAGAAAAUUUGUUGCAGGAGUUGUGGUUGCUUUCAUCAAAGCCUAUUUGGGUGGGGAUAGGAGUGAACAGGAAAGAUAUAAGCGUGUAAUUAAAGCUUGA